CAGAGUUGCAAACCGCUCCUCAAACCAUUGUGAACCUUACCUCUAACCGUUGCUUCGGCGGGUCGGGGUCCCUAAAAGGACGUCCUCCCCGGGCCCAUCUCCAGUCGGGGUGGGCCGCCCGCCGGAGGAUAACCAAACUCUUGAUACUGUAUGGCCGUCUUCUGAGUCUUUGUACAAUGCAAAUAAGUCA
rnacentral:misc_RNA from 1 species